UGCAAGUAAACAGAUAGAGAUGUAUUUAGAUGCACAUGUUUGAUGCACUCGGGUGCAAGCUUGAAAUUCCAGUUAACUGAUAUGAUGGAAAAUAUACAAAAACAGUAAAUGGUUUCGCUUCAGCGCCCGCAUGCCAAAGACAUGUUGUAACAAAAAAGAUCUUUGUGUAUUAUUAUGUACGUGAAGAUUGUUUACUUCUAAGAUUUUUUUAUUGGUUAACUUUGAACCUACUUGACGUGUUAUAAAAAAUCUUUUACCAAUAUAAUGCUACAUACAUUAUCAAGGAGUGACGGACUAUAUUUUAAAGGUGAAAGGAACAGCCUAAAUCGUGUAAACCGUGCCGGCGUAGUCAUAUAAUACUCGUGUUUACGACGAGCGCUACACAAGCUGCGAUGGACCACAUCCCCACUGACAUAGAUAAGCGCUCACACUAAAUUGUUAUUAUCGAAUUUGUUUUUGUUUUCAUUGCAUGUAAUAUAAUUAUCAAGAACAAGUA